GUGGGGAAUAUUGGACAAUGGGCGAAAGCCUGAUCCAGCCAUGCCGCGUGUGUGAAGAAGGUCUUCGGAUUGUAAAGCACUUUAAGUUGGGAGGAAGGGCAUUAACCUAAUACGUUAGUGUUUUGACGUUACCGACAGAAUAAGCACCGGCUAACUUCGUGCCAGCAGCCGCGGUAAUACGAAGGGUGCAAGCGUUAAUCGGAAUUACUGGGCGUAAAGCGCGCGUAGGUGGUUUUGUAAGUUGAAGGUGAAAUCCCCGGGCUCAACCUGGGAACUGCCUCCAAAACUGCAUGACUAGAGUACGGUAGAGGGUAGUGGAAUUUCCUGUGUAGCGGUGAAAUGCGUAGAUAUAGGAAGGAACACCAGUGGCGAAGGCGACUACCUGGACUGAUACUGACACUGAGGUGCGAAAGCGUGGGGAGCAAACAGGAUUAGAAACCCGAGUAGUCC
rnacentral:rRNA from 1 species